rnacentral:rRNA from 1 species
GAUGAACGCUGGCGGCGUGCUUAACACAUGCAAGUCGAACGGUGAAAGAGAGCUUGCUCUCUGGAUCAGUGGCGAACGGGUGAGUAACACGUGAGCAAUCUGCCCCUGACUCUGGGAUAAGCGCUGGAAACGGCGUCUAAUACUGGAUACGAGCUGCGAAGGCAUCUUCAGCAGCUGGAAAGAACUUCGGUCAGGGAUGAGCUCGCGGCCUAUCAGCUUGUUGGUGAGGUAAUGGCUCACCAAGGCGUCGACGGGUAGCCGGCCUGAGAGGGUGACGGGCCACACUGGGACUGAGACACGGCACAGACUCAUACGGGAGGCAGCAGUGGGGAAUAUUGCACAAUGGGCGAAAGGCUGAUGCAGCAACGCCGCGUGAGGGACGACGGCCUUCGGGUUGUAAACCUCUUUUAGCAGGGAAGAAGCGAAAGUGACGGUACCUGCAGAAAAAGCACCGGCUAACUACGUGCCAGCAGCCGCAGUAAAAC